AAACAAUGUAAUUCUUAAAUUAUUAUGACCUCCAAAAUGAUAUCAUAAUCAUGAAAUAAUAGCAUAAGUUUAAUGACAAGAUCACUUCAGUUAUAUUUUUGUUUGGUUUUGGUCAUCAAGUUUUGUACAUCCUUCAUUUAGUAGAUGUAUAAAUUUGCUUGUACUUUAAAACUUGUGAAUAGUGCUAAUAUAAAUAUCAAAUUAAUUAUACGAUUAAUGAGUAUUAUCAAUUAGUCUUUUUACUUUAUUUUCUAUGCGACUGUAUUACAAAAAUUACAAAUCUUAUGAAUGUGUUAAAACCUUCUUAGGCUGAAUGAAAUCACUAUAAAUUCAGAGCAAAAGAUUCAUGUCACUUGAUACCAAAAGCAUUAAUCUAUCAGUCCAAAGGAUCAAUAUGUUGUCUAAUACAUUCAAGAUGUAUAAAAACAGUUGUUUUAAAGAGGCUGUCCAAGUAAAUAUCAGGCAAAUCCUAUGAUAUGGGUGGUACAGCAUAAUUUUUUUCCCACUGAAUUUUUGGCUCCAAUGCAAUGUUCAUAUCUUACAAAGGAUAUACAUGUAUAUGUCAAAGAUAUGUUUGAAUCAACAGUGGAUGGCUCAAAAAAUGAUUUUAAAGUUCACUAACAAUGCAACAAAAUUUGUACAAAAUGAAGAGUUAUCUCCCCUUUUCAAUGAAUAUUUAGUGCUUUCUAUGUAUUUUUUUUCUUUUUAUUUGUUGCAGUAAAUAAAAAAACAAAAUUUAACUUUGAGAAAGAAUGAAUUUGUGAUAUGAAAUUAAUAAAAAAAAAUUGAAAACAAAAAAUGUCAUGUGCCAUCCACUGCCUGGUUUUACCAGCAUGUAGUUUAUUAAAGAAAUAAAACUAAAGGUAUUACAGUUAUGUUGACUAAAUUGUUAAUUAACUGAAAUCACAAUAAAAAUGAAUGCAAUAUUUUUUCUUUUCUGAAGGAAUUGUAUAUAUAGAUUAAAACAUCAUGUGAAAAUCGUCAUUGAACAUUAAAUAUUUAUUCAUAACACA
rnacentral:lncRNA from 1 species